GUCGAACGCUUCUUUCCUCCCGAGUGCUUGCACUCAAUUGGAAAGAGGAGUGGCGGACGGGUGAGUAACACGUGGGUAACCUACCCAUCAGAGGGGGAUAACACUUGGAAACAGGUGCUAAUACCGCAUAACAGUUUAUGCCGCAUGGCAUAAGAGUGAAAGGCGCUUUCGGGUGUCGCUGAUGGAUGGACCCGCGGUGCAUUAGCUAGUUGGUGAGGUAACGGCUCACCAAGGCCACGAUGCAUAGCCGACCUGAGAGGGUGAUCGGCCACACUGGGACUGAGACACGGCCCAGACUCCUACGGGAGGCAGCAGUAGGGAAUCUUCGGCAAUGGACGAAAGUCUGACCGAGCAACGCCGCGUGAGUGAAGAAGGUUUUCGGAUCGUAAAACUCUGUUGUUAGAGAAGAACAAGGACGUUAGUAACUGAACGUCCCCUGACGGUAUCUAACCAGAAAGCCACGGCUAACUACGUGCCAGCAGCCGCGGUAAUACGUAGGUGGCAAGCGUUGUCCGGAUUUAUUGGGCGUAAAGCGAGCGCAGGCGGUUUCUUAAGUCUGAUGUGAAAGCCCCCGGCUCAACCGGGGAGGGUCAUUGGAAACUGGGAGACUUGAGUGCAGAAGAGGAGAGUGGAAUUCCAUGUGUAGCGGUGAAAUGCGUAGAUAUAUGGAGGAACACCAGUGGCGAAAGCGGCUCUCUGGUCUGUAACUGACGCUGAGGCUCGAAAGCGUGGGGAGCAAACAGGAUUAGAUACCCUGGUAGUCCACGCCGUAAACGAUGAGUGCUAAGUGUUGGAGGGUUUCCGCCCUUCAGUGCUGCAGCAACGCAUUAAGCACUCCGCCUGGGGGAGUACGACCGCAAGGUUGAAACUCAAAGGAAUUGACGGGGGCCCGCACAAGCGGUGGAGCAUGUGGUUUA
rnacentral:rRNA from 1 species